UAGGGAAUUUUCCACAAUGGGCGAAAGCCUGAUGGAGCAACGCCGCGUGCAGGAUGAAUGCCUUCGGGUUGUAAACUGCUUUUAUAUGUGACGAAUAUGACGGUAGCAUAUGAAUAAGGAUCGGCUAACUCCGUGCCAGCAGCCGCGGUCAUACGGAGGAUCCAAGCGUUAUCCGGAAUUACUGGGCGUAAAGAGUUGCGUAGGUGGCAGAGUAAGCAAAUAGUGAAAGCGUACGGCUCAACCGUAUAUACAUUAUUUGAACUGCUCAGCUAGAGAACGAGAGAGGUAACUGGAAUUCCUAGUGUAGGAGUGAAAUCCGUAGAUAUUAGGAGGAACACCGAUGGCGUAGGCAGGUUACUGGCUCGUUUCUGACACUAAGGCACGAAAGCGUGGGGAGCAAACGGGAUUAGAUACCCCGGUAGUCC
rnacentral:rRNA from 1 species